CCUACGGGCGGCUGCAGUAGGGAAUCUUCCACAAUGGGCGAAAGCCUGAUGGAGCAACGCCGCGUGGGUGAAGAAGGUCUUCGGAUCGUAAAACCCUGUUGUUAGCGAAGAAAGUGCGUGCGAGUAACUGUUCCCGUUUCGACGGUAUCUAACCAGAAAGCCCCGGCUAACUACGUGCCAGCAGCCGCGGUAAUCCGUAGGUGGCAAGCGUUAUCCGGAUUUAUUGGGCGUAAAGGGAACGCAGGCGGUCUUUUAAGUCUGAUGUGAAAGCCUUCGGUUUAACCGGAGGAGUGCAUUGGAAACGGGGAGACGUGAGUGCAGAAGAGGAGAGUGGAACUCAAUGUGUAGCGGUGAAAUGCGUAGAUAUAUGGAAGAACACCAGUGGCGAAAGCGGCUCUCUGGGCUGUAACUGACGCUGAGGUUCGAAAGCGUGGGUAGCAAACAGGAUUAGAUACCCCAGUAGGC
rnacentral:rRNA from 1 species